UGGCGGCGUGCCUAACACAUGCAAGUCGAACGCUCUCUCCGCGAGGGAGGGAGUGGCGGACGGGUGAGGAACACGUGGGUAACCUGCCCUGCAGUGGGGGAUACCGGUGCGAAAGCGCCGACAAUCCCGCAUGAGGUGGGGUCUUGGGAGGAGACUCCAGGAAAGCCCGAGGCUGGAGGGCCUGGGGCGCUGCAGGAGGGGCCUGCGCCCGAUUAGCUGGUUGGUAGGGUAACGGCCUACCAAGGCGACGAUCGGUAGCUGGUCUGAGAGGACGGCCAGCCACACUGGGAUUGAGAGACGGCCCAGACUCCUACGGGGGGCAGCAGUGAGGGAUCUUCGGCAAUGGGCGAAAGCCUGACCGAGCGACGCCGCGUGCAGGAAGAAGGCCUUCGGGUUGUAAACUGCUUUUCUGGGGGAAGAGGGAGGACGGUACCCCAGGAAGAAGCCCCGGCAAACUACGUGCCAGCAGCCGCGGUAAGACGUAGGGGGCGAGCGUUGUCCGGAGUUACUGGGCGUAAAGGGCCUGUAGGCGGUCUGGCAGGUUCCCGCUGACAGCCCGCGGCUUCACUGCGGGAGAGGCGGGAAGACGGCUGGACUUGAG
rnacentral:rRNA from 1 species